rnacentral:rRNA from 1 species
CCUACGGGUGGCUGCAGUGGGGAAUAUUGCACAAUGGGGGAAACCCUGAUGCAGUGACGCCGCGUGAGUGAGGAAGUAUUUCGGUAUGUAAAGCUCUAUCAGCAGGGAAGAAAUUAACGGUACCUGACUAAGAAGCCCCGGCUAACUACGUGCCAGCAGCCGCUGUAAUACGUAGGGGGCAAGCGUUAGCCGGAUUUACUGGGUGUAAAGGGAGCGUAGACGGAAUGGCAAGUCUGAAGUGAAAGUCCGGGGCGUAACCCUGGAACUGCAUUGGAAACUGUAUUUCUAGAGUGUCGGAGAGGUAAGUGGAAUUCCUGGUGUAGCGGUGAAAUGCGUAGAUAUUAGGAGGAACACCAGUGGCGAAGGCGGCUUGCUGGACGAUGACUGACGUUGAGGCUCGAAAGCGUGGGGAGCAAACAGGAUUAGAUACCCUGGUAGUC